UUUAUCGGAGAGUUUGAUCCUGGCUCAGGACGAACGCUGGCGGCGUGCCUAAUACAUGCAAGUCGAGCGGACAGAUGGGAGCUUGCUCCCUGAUGUUAGCGGCGGACGGGUGAGUAACACGUGGGUAACCUGCCUGUAAGACUGGGAUAACUCCGGGAAACCGGGGCUAAUACCGGAUGGUUGUCUGAACCGCAUGGUUCAGA
rnacentral:rRNA from 1 species